rnacentral:rRNA from 1 species
UGGGGAAUUUUACGCAAUGGGGGAAACCCUGACGUAGCGACACCGCGUGAGCGAAGAAGCCUUUUGGGGUGUAAAGCUCUGUCAGCUGGAACGAACACAAUGACGGUACCAGCAGAGGAAGCAUCGGCUAACUACGUGCCAGCAGCCGCGGUAAGAUGUAGGAUGCAAGCGUUGUCCGGAUUCAUUGGGCGUAAAGAGUUCGUAGGUGGUCUGUUAAGUUUGGUGUUAAAGAGCGGGGCCCAACCCCGAUAGUGCACUGAAUACUGGCAGACUUGAGUGCGGUAGAGGUAAGUGGAAUUCCAAGGGUAGCGGUGAAAUGCAUAGAUAUUUGGAAGAACACCGGUGGCGUAAGCGACUUACUGGGCCGUAACUGACACUGAGGAACGAAAGCCGGGGUAGCGAAUG